AGUGUUUCUCUAAUGGAACGAUGACUGCGCUGGCGGUGAAGGUGAGUCCGCUCCCGGUCUGAACCCCGGUCAGCUGACCCUGAGCGACCCCGCCUGUGGUCCCACCUACAGCGACUAUCGCUUCGCCUACUUCCACUUCACUGUGAACUCCUGUGGCACCACCAGGAAGUUUAUCAACAAUGUCAUGCUGUAUGAGAAC